CAGGGUACUCGAGUGGCGAACGGGUGAGUAACACGUGGGUGAUCUGCCCUGCACUUCGGGAUAAGCUUGGGAAACUGGGUCUAAUACCGGAUAGGAGCCAUCUUUAGUGUGGUGGUUGGAAAGUUUUUUCGGUGUAGGAUGAGCUCGCGGCCUAUCAGCUUGUUGGUGGGGUAAUGGCCUACCAAGGCGGCGACGGGUAGCCGGCCUGAGAGGGUGUACGGCCACAUUGGGACUGAGAUACGGCCAAG
rnacentral:rRNA from 1 species